rnacentral:lncRNA from 1 species
AGGAUGAAUCCUAAGGAAGUUAAUAGCUGAAGGCUGCAGCUACUAGAUUCCAGAGAGUGGCCUGGGGCACAAGAUACUCAACCAGAGCAGACAGUGUCAGCCUCUGUCAUGGAAAGCACAGAGCUUCCUAUCCUACAUGAUUGUCUAUUGUAAUGCCAAAUUACAAGCAAUGGAGUCUCACUGUGUUGCCCAGGCUGGAGUGCUGUGGCAUGAUCUCAGCUCACUGCCAUCUCUGCCUCUUGAGUUCAAGCGAUUCUCCUGCCUCAGCUUCCCAAGUAGCUGGGAUUACAGGCGCACGCCACCACGCCCCGCUAGUUUUUGUAUUUUCAGUAGAGACGGGGUUUCACCAUGUUGGCCAGACUGGUCUGUAACUCCAGACUUCAGGUGAUCUGCCCACCUUGGCCUCCCAAAGUGCUGGGAUUACAGGCCUGAGCCACCAUGCCCAGCCAAUUUCCAUAUAUUUUUUAUACUGGGAUUUCAGAGAGUAAUUUCCUCUUCAUGUGUAACCAGUUAUGUGAAUUAAAACAGAUUCAGCCUUCUUUUACGGUUGUG